UACGUAGGGUGCGAGCGUUAAUCGGAAUUACUGGGCGUAAAGUGUGCGCAGGCGGCCGAGCAAGUCGAGUGUGAAAAGCCCCGAGCUUAACUUGGGAACUGCGCUCGAAAACUACUUGGCUGGAGUGUGGCAGAGGAAGGUGGAAUUCCACGUGUAGCGGUGAAAUGCGUAGAGAUGUGGAGGAACACCGAUGGCGAAGGCAGCCUUCUGGGCCAACACUGACGCUCAUGCACGAAAGCGUGGGGAGCAAACAGG
rnacentral:rRNA from 1 species